CUGCACUCAUAGAACUGAGGUUACGUGGCCAUGGGCUUUCCAACUGCAUGCCAGAGUAACUAGAGAGACUUAGACAUCCCAGGCCAGUGCAGUGCCUGCAGCUGACACUCGACUUUCCUAUAGGU
ensembl:snoRNA